UGCCAGCCGCCGCGGUAACACGGGGGGCGCAAGCGUUAUUCGGAAUUAUUGGGCGUAAGGGGCGCGCAGGCGGUCUUGUCCGUCAGGUGUGAAAGCUCGGGGCUCAACCCCGGAAGUGCACUUGAAACAGCAAGACUUGAAUCCGAGAGGGGUGUGUGGAAUUCCUAGUGUAGGGGUGAAAUCUGUUGAUAUUAGGAAGAACACCAGAGGCGAAGGCGACACACUGGCUCUGGAUUGACGCUGAGGUGCGAAAGCGUAGGUAGCGAACAGGAUUAGAUA
rnacentral:rRNA from 1 species